AUUCAAAUGCAAAUAACACUCAAAAAAGUUCUAUAAAUUGAAUAGUCAAUUAAAUAAAAUACUAGUCUAAAAUACUAGUCAUAAGCAAAAAGCUAAGUUUUCAAAAAAAAAACCUAAGAGAUGGCGAAUUGUUUAGUUUCAUUUCAGCUAUCACUACUUCUCUUUAUCAUUGAAAUACAAUAAGCUUUACUGCAGCAAAUUUACUUUAGGCAAUAUUGAUAACUUCACUUUACUUCAUAUUAUAUAAUUAAUGAUAGUCUUGGACAAAAACGUCGAACUUUUUUUCAGAAUAAAAAAUUCUGAAUGGAAUAAUCAUCUGAAUGGAAUAAUCGCCAGAUAUUUUGCUUCAAUAUCACAAAAAACGCAUUGUUUUUUUAUGGAAAUAUGAAAGAGAUGACGAGUACAAAGAUCUUUUUAAUUUUAGUCUGCAUGACUAAUGGAUAUUCAUUACUUAUCUAUCAUUACCCAUAAUAUUAAUGAAUUUUAAUGUCGAAUUGUAUAGUUUUUUCUUAAAAAAAAAGCAUAUGAAACCUUUUUAUUAUGUAGUUUUCAUCGACCGAAUCGCUUAGAUACAUUAGCUAAUGGUAUAUUGAUGGAAUUUUCUUCUUCUCUUUAUACAUUUAUUUACAGUUAAAGAAUUAACGAAUUCUUUUAAUUAAAAAAAGAAAAAAAUGAAAGCGACAUGGGGAAACAAAAUAUAAAAAAUGAAUGAGAAAAAGUUGCUCAAAUAACUUUUUAAAGUAAAAUGCAGAUAUUGAAGUUCAGAGAACAUUUAGAGAAGAAUGAUACGAACCACGGACAACAUCACUUUAACAAUGUUAUUUACAAAGUUAUACAAUUCUAGAAAUAUUGUUGAAUUAUUAUACGCAUUACUUUUCUCAAUGCUUAAUAUUGCGAGUCUUUUAUAAAAUCCAAUUUUCCAAAAUAACCAUUGUUUUUUCUUAAUUCAGUUGAGCUGCAUGCAUUUGUAAGUUUUCGUUACUGACGCUACAUCACUUCAAAAAUUGGAGACUAAUCGUAAGGUUGGCUCGUUGACCUGGCUGGAGACAGGCUUAAGGUGGGUUGACACGAUCAAAGUACUUUGAUCAAAGUAAGCGCGCGCAUUCACCAGUAGGGAAAUAUUUUUAGGGAAAUGUGACGAUUUAGAAGAAGUUGUUUUUGUUUACAGGGAAUAUGUUUAUUUUGAACCUUUUUUUCAAGAAAUUUGGACGUAUUAGUAGGAUUUGAAAACUUCUCUAUAUUAUCGGGUUGACAGAAUUUAUUCUUCAUCUCCUCUUCUGCAUUUAAAAUAACCUGUAUUGUAUCACAGCCGGAAAUAAUUACAAGCUUUCAUUUUCUAAAAACCAUA